rnacentral:piRNA from 1 species
UGCUCGAACAGUUGGUGGAGGCC